rnacentral:rRNA from 1 species
GACGAACGCUGGCGGCGUGCCUAAUACAUGCAAGUCGAGCGCAGGAAAUCGAUGGAACCCUUCGGGGGGAAGUCGACGGAAUGAGCGGCGGACGGGUGAGUAACACGUAAAGAACCUGCCCUCAGGUCUGGGAUAACCACGAGAAAUCGGGGCUAAUACCGGAUGGGUCAUCGGACCGCAUGGUCAGAGGAUGGAAGGCGCUGCGGCGCCGCCCGGGGAUGGCUUUGCGGUGCAUUAGCUAGUUGGGGGGGUAAUGGCCCACCAAGGCGACGAUGCAUAGCCGACCUGAGAGGGUGAUCGGCCACACUGGGACUGAGACACGGCCCAGACUCCUACGGGAGGCAGCAGUAGGGAAUCUUCCACAAUGGACGAAAGUCUGAUGGAGCAACGCCGCGUGAACGAUGAAGGCCUUCGGGUCGUAAAGUUCUGUUGUAAGGGAAGAACAAGUGCCGCAGGCAAUGGCGGCACCUUGACGGUACCUUGCGAGAAAGCCACGGCUAACUACGUGCCAGCCGCCGCGGUAA